AUGGUGUAUCUAAAAGUCCAACCAUACAGACAGAAUGCUUUUGGCCUAAGAGGAUCUCUCAAACUCAGAUCCAAAUUCUAUGGACCUUUCAAAGUGCUACAAAAGGUGGGGAAUGUAUCAUACAAACUCCACCUUCCAGACGAGGCUGAUAUUCAUCCGGUGUUUCAUGUCAGCCAAUUGAAGAAGCAUAUUGGACAUCGUGCGGUUCCUUUGCCCCAUGUUCCUCUGGUCACUCCGGAAGGAUAUGUUAAGACCUACCCAGUAGCGGUCCUCGACAGGCGCAUCAUACAACGAAACAAGCAACCGGUCGGCCAAUGUUUGGUUCAAUGGGAGAGUUUAGCUCCAGACGAUGCUACAUGGGAAGAUGCUACUUUUCUUAACAACCAUUUUCCAGGUCAUCGGCUUUUUCACCUUGAGGACAAGGCGAUUCUCAAGAGGGCGGCAUUGUCAGGGCCACGACCCCGCCUGACAGGAGUUACAGAACUGAAGAAGGAGCGAGCCACACUGAAGAGAAGACAGCGAUCUCAAGUUCAGAAGAAGGACGGUCCAGAUCUCGCGGUAACGAUUCAAGACAGCAUGGACGGUCCAGAUCCGCAGGAGAGCAAGUUACCCCUGUUCCUCGUCAAGCUGCUGUCAUUCUUGGGUUUUAACCCUCUGUAA
rnacentral:rRNA from 1 species